rnacentral:rRNA from 1 species
GUGGGGAAUCUUAGACAAUGGGGGAAACCCUGAUCUAGCCAUGCCGCGUGAGCGAUGAAGGCCUUAGGGUUGUAAAGCUCUUUCAGCUGGGAAGUUAAUGACGGUACCAGCAGAAGAAGCCCCGGCUAACUCCGUGCCAGCAGCCGCGGUAAUACGGAGGGGGCUAGCGUUGUUCGGAAUUACUGGGCGUAAAGCGCGCGUAGGCGGACCAGAAAGUUGGAGGUGAAAUCCCAGGGCUCAACCUUGGAACUGCCUUCAAAACUCCUGGUCUGGAGUUCGAGAGAGGUGAGUGGAAUUCCGAGUGUAGAGGUGAAAUUCGUAGAUAUUCGGAGGAACACCAGUGGCGAAGGCGGCUCACUGGCUCGAUACUGACGCUGAGGUGCGAAAGCGUGGGGAGCAAACAGGAUUAGAAACCCGAGUAGUCC